rnacentral:rRNA from 1 species
GUGGGGUAGUGGCCUACCAAGGCGACGACGGGUAGCCGGCCUGAGAGGGUGACCGGCCACACUGGGACUGAGACACGGCCCAGACUCCUACGGGAGGCAGCAGUGGGGAAUAUUGCGCAAUGGGCGGAAGCCUGACGCAGCGACGCCGCGUGGGGGAUGACGGCCUUCGGGUUGUAAACCUCUUUCAGCAGGGACGAAGCGCAAGUGACGGUACCUGCAGAAGAAGCGCCGGCUAACUACGUGCCAGCAGCCGCGGUAAUACGUAGGGCGCAAGCGUUAUCCGGAAUUACUGGGCGUAAAGAGUUCGUAGGCGGUUUGUCGCGUCGUUUGUGAAAACCAGCAGCUCAACUGCUGGCUUGCAGGCGAUACGGGCAGACUUGAGUACUGCAGGGGAGACUGGAAUUCCUGGUGUAGCGGUGAAAUGCGCAGAUAUCAGGAGGAACACCGGUGGCGAAGGCGGAUCUCUGGGCCUUACCUGACGCUCAGGCGCGAAAGCUAGGGGAGCGAACAGGAUUAGAUACCCUGGUAGUCCUAGCCGUAAACGUUGGGUGCUAGGUGUGGGCGGAUAUCAACCCCGUCCGUGCCGAAGCUAACGCAUUAAGCA